rnacentral:rRNA from 1 species
UACGGAGGAUCCGAGCGUUAUCCGGAUUUAUUGGGUUUAAAGGGAGCGUAGGCGGGUUGUUAAGUCAGUUGUGAAAGUUUGCGGCUCAACCGUAAAAUUGCAGUUGAUACUGGCGACCUUGAGUGCAACAGAGGUAGGCGGAAUUCGUGGUGUAGCGGUGAAAUGCUUAGAUAUCACGAAGAACUCCGAUUGCGAAGGCAGCUUACUGGAUUGUAACUGACGCUGAUGUUCGAAAGUGUGGGUAUCAAACAGG